GACGAAGUAGUUUAAGCCAAAAAUAACAGAUUGUGGUUCUGUUGAUAGUUGUAUCUUUUCGUUG
rnacentral:tRNA from 1 species